rnacentral:rRNA from 1 species
GGGUAGUUACUUUCGGGUAAUGAGACCGGCGCACGGGUGCGUAACGCGUAUGCAAUCUACCUUUUACAGGGGAAUAGCCCAGAGAAAUUUGGAUUAAUGCCCCAUAGUAUGUAUGAAUCGCAUGGUUUAUACAUUAAAGUUCCAACGGUAAAAGAUGAGCAUGCGUCCCAUUAGUUAGUUGGUAAGGUAACGGCUUACCAAGACGAUGAUGGGUAGGGGUCCUGAGAGGGAGAUCCCCCACACUGGUACUGAGACACGGACCAGACUCCUACGGGAGGCAGCAGUGAGGAAUAUUGGACAAUGGGCGCAAGCCUGAUCCAGCCAUGCCGCGUGCAGGAAGAAGCAUCUAUGGUGUGUAAACUGCUUUUGUACAGGAAGAAACACUCCCUCGUGAGGGAGCUUGACGGUACUGUAAGAAUAAGGAUCGGCUAACUCCGUGCCAGCAGCCGCGGUAAUACGGAGGAUCCAAGCGUUAUCCGGAAUCAUUGGGUUUAAAGGGUCCGUAGGCGGUUUGAUAAGUCAGUGGUGAAAGCCCAUCGCUCAACGAUGGAACGGCCAUUGAUACUGUCAGACUUGAAUUACUAGGAAGUAACUAGAAUAUGUAGUGUAGCGGUGAAAUGCUUAGAUAUUACAUGGAAUACCAAUUGCGAAGGCAGGUUACUACUAGUGGAUUGACGCUGAUGGACGAAAGCGUGGGGAGCGAACAGGAUUAGAUACCCUGGUAGUCCACGCCGUAAACGAUGGAUACUAGCUGUUGGGCGCAAGUUCAGUGGCUAAGCGAAAGUGAUAAGUAUCCCACCUG